rnacentral:SRP_RNA from 1 species
GCCAGGCGCUGUGGCGGGCGCCUGUAAUCCCAGCUACUUGGGAGGCUGAGGCAGGAGGAUUGCUUGAACCCAGAAAGUGGAGGUUGCAGUGAGCCAAGACCGUGCCAUUGCACUCCAGCCUGGGUGACAGAGCAAGACUCCGUCUCAA